rnacentral:rRNA from 1 species
AACGAACGCUGGCGGCAGGCCUAACACAUGCAAGUCGAGCGCGCCCUUCGGGGUGAGCGGCGGACGGGUGAGUAACGCGUGGGAACGUGCCCUUCUCUGCGGAAUAGCCUCGGGAAACUGAGAGUAAUACCGCAUACGCCCUUUGGGGGAAAGAUUUAUCGGAGAAGGAUCGGCCCGCGUUGGAUUAGGUAGUUGGUGGGGUAAUGGCCCACCAAGCCGACGAUCCAUAGCUGGUUUGAGAGGAUGAUCAGCCACACUGGGACUGAGACACGGCCCAGCCUCCUACGGGAGGCAGCAGUGGGGAAUCUUAGACAAUGGGGGCAACCCUGGUCUAGCCAUGCCGCGUGAGUGAUGAAGGCCUUAGGGUUGUAAAGCUCUUUCAGCUGGGAAGAUAAUGACGGUACCAGCAGAAGAAGCCCCGGCUAACUCCGUG